AAAUAAUAUAAUUUAAUUUAAUUAGUAUUAAUUAAUUUAUAAUAAUUAAUUUUGAGAUAAAAUUUAUUAGGUGAAAUUUUUAAAUUUUAAAAAAAAAUUAUUUUAAUGAGGUUAAAAAAUUUAAUAAAUAAACUAGGAUUAGAUACCCUAUUAUUUUAAAUGUAGUUUUAUAAGCUAAAUUAGUAUCAGUUAUGUUCUUUAAAAUUAAAGAUUUUGGCGGUAUUUUAGUCUAUUCAGAGGAACCUGUUCUAUAAUUGAUAAUCCACGAUUUAAUUUACUUUUUUUAUUAGUUUGUAUAUCGUCGUAAUUUGAAUAUUUUAUAAGAAUAAUAAUAUUCAAGAUUUUUUAUAAUAAAAAUAAAUCAGAUCAAGGUGCAGUUUAUAAAAAAGAAGAAAUGGGUUACAAUAAAAUUAUUUAAGGAUUAUUAUUUAUAAAAUAAUAUAAAUUUGGAUUUGAUAGUAAAUUUAAUUAAUUAAUUAAAUUGAUUUUUAGCUCUAAAAU
rnacentral:rRNA from 1 species